AGCCGUUCUGCCUUACAGGGUUGGGACCCCGGAAGCUUAUCGGCGCGGUUGCGGCCGCGGCUCCCUGUGUUUUGAUCAGAACACCACGUUCCUGCUUAACAGAAAUUGGUCAGUAUGCGCUUAAUGCUCAUAGUGUGGCGUCCGGACACGCAGCGAGAGAAAAACGCAAUAACCUGGUCCGUCAGCGUUGCUUGCUUCAGCAGGCCUUAAAUAUGUGCUGCAUCUUUUGGGGGACGUUACUUAAGAGGCAAACAUCUGGCUCGAAGUCUUCCAUUAUUUUCAGCAAGCAUUUAGGAGGUGACUGCACUAUAAGGAGAAUAACCCACAGUAGCACAGGUUGGGAGUCUGCACAGUGCCGAGGCCAGCUCAGUCUUCACUAUUCGAACGAAGGAAGCCUGGGGCAACUGUUUGUUUUCUCUGCCCUGCGUGUUAGUUGCCCGUUGUUUUUGGAGAAAAAACUAGUAUCGGGGUAUAUUGGUGGAAAAAUUUGGAUUUGGCAGCUUGAAGCCUUUUUUGCGACAAGCUUAGGUUAGGAAGGGAUAGAGGGGAGGAAAGAAAAAAUAAUUUUCGACCAUAGUAGAUCUGCGAAAGCAGACCUUCUGUUUGUCCUCUUAUCUAUAGUCUUUCCCUCACCCCCCACCCCUUGUCUCCUAAAAACCAGUCCAGACUUUCCCCGCCACCUCCGUCCUUGUAGCAGAUAACGUUGCUCCUUCCUUCAUGGAUAAAUUGAAGGCCAACAGACAAAAACUUUUCAACUCUUUGCUGCUCUGUCCGCUCUAAAUUUAUCUUUACACCUUCAGAGAAGAGCACCCUUCUGUUUUCCCCUCCUACCUCAAACCCAGUAGGUCAAAAUUCUUCCAUCAAUCAUUUUUACCCAUUCUAUCUCUCUCUUUCAUUUAUACAGAUUCCAAGCUGCCUUUCUUCUAAAAAAAAAAAAAAAAAAAAAGUAAAAAAACUCCUUUGACCUUGCCUUUCUAAAUGAAAUCUGUCUGUUGUUUUCAUGGCUGCACUUCUUGAAACCAUGUUCUACAAUUGCUACAUUUGCUUCUUAACCUUCUGUCUUC
rnacentral:lncRNA from 1 species